AUGGCAGGCAUGGGCGAGAUGUCGAUGAGGCCGCGGCCGGGCCCGCCGAUGCACCGCGGCCCGCCUCCCAUGGCGCGCCCCCGCCCCGAACCCAUCGACCGCGAGAAGACCUGCCCUCUCCUGCUCCGGGUUUUCACCAAGGUUGGUGGCCAUCACCUAAAUGAAGAGUUUUCUGAGAGAGGGAAGGAGCCAAAAGAUGAAGUUCAGAUUUACACGUGGAAGGAUGCCACACUCCGGGAGCUCACUGAUCUUGUCAAAGAGGUUGCUCUUCCAGCAAGGAAAAGAAACGCUAGGUUAUCUUUUGCUUUUGUAUACCCGGAUAAGAAUGGUCGUUUUGUUGUCAAACAGGUGGGUUCGACCUUUUCUUAUGGUCAUGGAAGAGGGGAUGAUGCCAAAUCUCUUGGGGAUCUUGGCUUCCAGAUAGGUGAUUACUUGAGCGUGUCGAUCAUGUGA
rnacentral:rRNA from 1 species